UACGGAGGGGGCUAGCGUUGUUCGGAAUUACUGGGCGUAAAGCGCACGUAGGCGGCUUUGUAAGUUAGAGGUGAAAGCCCGGAGCUCAACUCCGGAACUGCCUUUAAGACUGCAUCGCUAGAAUUGUGGAGAGGUAAGUGGAAUUCCGAGUGUAGAGGUGAAAUUCGUAGAUAUUCGGAAGAACACCAGUGGCGAAGGCGACUUACUGGACACAUAUUGACGCUGAGGUGCGAAAGCGUGGGGAGCAAACAGG
rnacentral:rRNA from 1 species